GGCGUAUUCGUGGAAGUCACGAGAAGGGUCAAACCAAAGGUUCACUCUUUGCUCUCUAUCGCCUUUACCAUGAGCAAAUACGUUAGUUUGCACAGUGUAAGGCUGUCCACUUCGGUUUCCCAGGAAUUCAAAAUCUAGUUCAUCUCUUACAGAAUCUGUAUCCGACUUCAUCUGCGCAAUAAUUACAUAUAUCGAUUUAUUUAUAUUAUAACCAAAGGUUUUUAUAUGUAGUAAACUUAAAAUAUUUGUAUAUAUAUUACAUAGAACGCAGCAACUGUUCCUGCGGAAUCACCGGGGAUGAUUUUAAUUUUCAUGCUAACGCGGCCAAACAAAUACUGCUUCUUCGAAGCGAACCCACAUCCUAAACCAAUGUUAACCAAAAUAUUUUUAAAAUGGAUUUGAAGGUAUAUAUUAAUUAGGUUUAUAUAGAAUUGAUUAUGAUGCAUGUAAGAACCUGAGCUAGGGUCCAACUUGAGUUGAAUGGCUCUUCCUCCAUCGAUUUGAGUGAUAUGAGUAUCGGACGUAUUAUAUCUUAUAGUAUAAUUUAUAGCAACAAACAGAUCCAUAUAUAUUUGAAAAAUAAUUGUUAUUAAAUAUAUGGGACCUUUAUGAAUGUACCCAAAACAAAUAUGCUGUCUCUUUCAUUCUCUUACUAUAUGGCCCGUGGCCGACACAAUAUAAUUAAACCAAUCAUCUCCCUCGUGACAAUAUGAAAAGACAGGAAUAGUUAACCGAGUCUUAUAGUACUAAAUUAUUGGUUACUUUAUUCCUGUUAAAUUAACUAUAGGUUACAUUUAUUUUAAUAAUUAGUCAGAUAAAGUGAUUUUUUAUAGAACUCGAGUGUUAUUACUGUUUACAUAUGACUUACACAAUACGGAGAUGGUUCCAUGAAGUGGCGUAUUCGUGGAAGUCACGAGAAGGGUCAAACCAAAGGUUCACUCUUUGCUCUCUAUCGCCUUUACCAUGAGCAAAUACGUUAGUUUGCACAGUGUAAGGCUGUCCACUUCGGUUUCCCAGGAAUUCAAAAUCUAGUUCAUCUCUUACAGAAUCUGUAUCCGACUUCAUCUGCGCAAUAAUUACAUAUAUCGAUUUAUUUAUAUUAUAACCAAAGGUUUUUAUAUGUAGUAAACUUAAAAUAUUUGUAUAUAUAUUACAUAGAACGCAG
rnacentral:lncRNA from 1 species